rnacentral:misc_RNA from 1 species
GGAAGUAAAAGUCGUAACAAGGUUUCCGUAGGUGAACCUGCGGAAGAUCAUAAAAUGUGUGGCCUUUAUUGUUGUCACCAUUAAUAAUCUACCCUAUGUGAAUUGUUUUGAGUAAUAAUUUUUCCAAUGAAAAAUUAUUUGUCUAUCCCUGAAGAAAAGUAGAAUAUACUUUUUUUAGGGAGUAAUUCUAAUAAUUUUUCAGUGAAAAGACCUUUUUUAAAUAACUUUUGUAUUCAUUUGUCUAAAUUUGUAAAAAAAUAAUUAAAAACAACUUUUACAAUGGAUCUCUGUUCUCGCAACGAUGAAGACGCAGCAAAAUGCAUAAUAAUGUGAAUGCAGAAUACGUGAAUCAUCAAAUCUUCGAACGCAUAUUGCACUUUUCAGUUACUAAAAAGUAUGUUGUUUGAGUAUCAGUAAAAUAUUUCAUAAAAGCGUUGCGCUUUUUAUGUUAUGAGUGUUUACAACGAUAAACAGUUGUUUCACUUUAAAUUCAUUUUUAAACCGUUAAUGGUUUUAAAAUAAUUAAAAUGGAUAAAAUUUUCCGUAAAAAGAAUAACCUUAUUUCAGUUUUAGUUUUUUAAAUCCAAGGCAACAAAAGAAUUUUCAAAUCAACUUGAUCUCAAUCAGAUAAGAGUACCGCUGAACUUAAGCAUAUCAAUAAGCGAGGAAAAGAAACUAACAAGGAUUCCCUUAGUAAGGCGAGUGAAGCGGGAAGAGCUCAAUUUGAAAUCUUCAAGGUUCUACCUUGACGAAUUAGUUUAAAAAGUGUUUUCUGUUAGCGGAGUGGCAAAGUCUUUGAAUAGACAUCAUAGAGGUGAGAAUCCGUAUUGGUCAUUCCUUCUAGCUUUGUUACACUUCAAAGAGUCGGAUUGUUUGGAAUGCAGUCCAAAAUGGUGGUAAAUUUCAUCUAAAGCUAAAUAUGGCGAGAGACCGAUAGCGAACAAGUACCGUGAGGAAAGAUGAAAGAACUUUGAAAAGAGAGUUAACAGUACGUGAAAUUGUCAAAAGGAAGGUUUGACACCAGUGUUGUUGUGGAGAAAUCAAUUGUGUGGAACGGGUUGUUGUGGGUUGAACCUUAUCAGCUCUCCUUACUCUUUACCUUUUCACGCAAUGCACUUUCUCUUUAACAAGUCAACAUCAAUUCUUUUGUUGUAAAAGGGCCGGCGGAAGGUGGCUUCUUUUCGGAGAAGUGUUUAUACCGUUGGUCUCUACAAUCGGAGAGAUUGAGUCUGCAGCGUAGAUCCUUCGGUUAGAUACGUUGUGCUAAGUUAUAAUCCUACAUAGACAACUCGUUGACUAUGUUCGAUCAUGUAGCUUACUCGCUAGCGCUAUCUUACCUACGCUUAGAGU